rnacentral:pre_miRNA from 1 species
UAAGUAAUCCCUCCGUCCGAAAAUACUUGUCGAAGAAAUGGAUGUAUCUAGACAUAUUUUAGUUCUACAUACAUCCAUUUUUAUGCAUUUCUCCGACAAGUAUUUCCGGACGGAGGGAGUAGUAU